AAUAUUGAAUACUUGUUAUAUGUAAGAAGCAUGUUUGUGAGUGUAUGGGAAAUAUUAAAAAUAAAUAAAAACGUCAUAAAUCUCGAUAAUUAAUUACUAUUUCUUAGACACAAGUGGAAAAUGUUAAACGGCCGGUGUCAUUUAUUAGAUGACGUGACUUACCGAUGUCGCGUCCUUCCCAGUAUUGCCAUAGUUAACGCGGUGAAUCCACUCGCGUUCCAUUUAAAACUCUGAGGCUGUUUGUCUGAAUUUACUUUUUGUCCAGUCGCGUCGCAGACGCGUGUGGCAAGUUGCGCUCUUCGUUGUUUUCUCGCCAGCCCUUAUCUUGGACAAGAUUGCUCGUUUAUAAAUGAAGUUAUAUCGUUGAAUUGAACACAGGGCUACGGAGGCGAGGCGAAUUUUUAAUUAGUUUCCGAAGAUAGAGAAUUUUAAGGAGGAAUGCGGGAGCCGUGUAACAAGUGUGCAGAUUUUUUUAAUUGAGACGUCGACGCAAUCAUUCGUCGGUGAAUUCGAUUUGCAAAUUGUGAAAAGAUUAAAGGGAAAGCAAUUGCUAUAUUCUAAUUUAAGAAUCUUUAAUAUCAUAUUAAAUAUUUUUAACGAAAUAAUAUUUUAGAAAGUUCUUUUAUAACGCUGUAAUAUAUUAAAGACAAACCCAUGAAACCAAGACAAAGCCACGAGAUAACAUCAAAAAUAAAAUAUGCAUACGUUUUUUUAAUAUUUUUAUUUUAUUAUAAAAGCUAAUUAUUUAAAUUAUGGUAUUAAAAAAUCAUUAUUGAGAAGGAACAAGAGCGACGACGUUAAAACCGAUGUGGUCUGGUUCACGUUCAAUAAAUUGACGGCAGACUUUAGCAGCAUCUUCUAGAAAGUUAACCUCAGUCGUUGGCCCGUGGUUUAUUGGUAAAGCCUUACGACCAUCCAGCUCAUACAGAUAACCAUCUUUGUGAAUAAAUGUUAUAAAAUGGUUAUUUACUGUUUCAUUGUCCUCAAUGUCUACUCCUUUUUCAAUAACUUCUUUGUAAGCUUCUA
rnacentral:misc_RNA from 1 species